CAUAAGUUUUCUCAACACUUGGCCUAUACCCGAGUUUCUUUCUCAACCCUAACCACACAGGACAGCCGCGACCUCCUUUCAUCACCCUCAUCCUCUGCCUCUGCUCCUAUCCUCCUUCUCCGGCUCUGACGCCGGAGCUCCGCGGAAAUCCACACUCCCGAUCCAGCUUCUCUCUCUCCUUGGAACUUCCAACCCGUCUCGGCGUGAGGCAUCUCUGCCUCUUCAGUCUUUCAAGCCCCACCCAGCCCCCACCGCCGAGCUCCUUGCCCAGCACUCUGCAACUAGCAAACCCGGCCGUGUCCCGGUCUCCGAUCUCCACCUCCAGCCCUCCAGACUCCAGACUCCAGCCUCUCUCCUUUCAACUCUGCAACUAGCAAACCCGUCUCCGGUCUCCGAUCUCCGCCUCCAGCCCUCCAGCCUUCAGGGACAACAUCUCUCUUCACAACCUUCAUUAUUGUGUCUCAAUUUAUUCAUCUCUUCUAGCCUUGACAUUUAUGCUCAGUAACAGAACAUGUAAAGAGCAAGCAAAGGCAAAGAGCAUUUUGCCAUACUUGGGAAAGUUAUGGAAGUAAGGGAGAAGUCAGUGGAUGCAAUAGAUAAGUCGGUAGAGGAGUGAAAAUCGCAAGCCUAGAGACAGCUAGAGCAGCAAUUGGGAGUUAUUUUUGAAGUGAAUAUGGGAAUUAUUUGGUUUUAGUUGGACACGAUUUAAGUGUAAUACUAGUGACUGUAAUAGAGGUAGGCUAUAUGGUUUGCAUUCCGAAGUCUUGGGGGUUUUUGGAGAUUUAGGCACUUCCCCCUUUUAUGUUUUCUACAAUACCUUUCCUCAUGGAAUUUCAGAUCCUGAGGACGUGGUUGGAGCUCUUUCAUUGAUUAUAUCUUAUCUUACUCUUAUCCCACUCAUCAAGUACGUAUUUGUUGUUUGUCGAGCAAAUGACAGUGGGCAAGGUGGGAAAAUCCAUUGACGUUGGACAUCCACAGGUGAUCGCUAUGCUAAUGUGGGUGAGGCAGGACUGACUUUCAAAAGUGAAGAAGCUGCAGUUUUAUAUCCUAAUAAUUUUCAUUCCAGUUUUGUUGUGAGAUGAUGUAUAACAGAGUUUUACAUCAAUCUACAAUCUUUGUUGGAUUUUGAAUAGUUAUUGUGGAUUACAUUGCUAAGGAUUCGAUUUUAACUGCUGUGCAGGUCAGGAAGCAUCAAACACCACUUCUAAGGGUACAAAAUUUUUCUUGUUCACUACUUGGACAUUUGAAGAUGGAAAUGUGGAUUUUCCUCUAAACCUUAUGCAGGCGAUAUUUGUAUGAUUUGUGCUUUGUUAUACAAGCUUGGGUCUAUGCUGAUGUAGCCAACGCUGAUGCUCGAGCCCACAGGUCGAAUUGGUUAAGGUGCUAUGACAUUGGGGGUGGUAGGAGUAGGAGUAGGGGAUGGAGUUCCUUGUCGUUGCUUCAGCAGGUCUUUCUCCUCUGGAAUUUUAGCUCCUCUCUCAAUCAUAAUGUCAAUGUUAGGUUAGAAUUAUGAAACUGAUGGAUUGUAUUUUGGAUGAUAUUGAUGCAAUGAAAUAUUUGGCUUAAUAUUGAUGGCUGAUUUAAGUCUAA